rnacentral:rRNA from 1 species
GACGUAGGGCGCGAGCGUUGUCCGGAUUUAUUGGGCGUAAAGAGCUCGUAGGCGGCUUGUUGCGUCGGAUGUGAAAGCCCGGGGCUUAACUCCGGGUCUGCAUUCGAUACGGGCAGGCUAGAGUUCGGUAGGGGAGAUCGGAAUUCCUGGUGUAGCAGUGAAAUGCGUAGAUAUCAGAAGGAACAUCAGUGGCGAAGGCGGCUUCCUGGACCAAUACUGACGAUCAGGUGCGAAAGCGUGGGGAGCAAACAGG